UAUAGUUAGUGUUAUCCCGAUAAUAUAAUACUGAAGAUUAUAAGACCUUAAGUCAUUGUGUAUCAAUAAUUAUUAAUAUAGUAAUUUUGUUUACUCUUUAGUGUUUUGUGCUAUCUCCACCAUAGUCUCCUACAGAAAAUAUUAAUGAAAGAUCACCGUCAAAACGUACACCAGUAAAGUCACUUGUUCAACAAAAACUCCAGUAAAGAAGCAAGAAUUAUUCUAGAAAGCAAUCUUCAUUCAAGCUGCCAACAGAGAAAAUGUUUAAUAUCAAACAGUCCAACAAACCAACAGCAGUUCCAAUUAUUAAUUUUGUCAAUCACUUUAAUGCUACAGAAAAACGGUUAGCAUCUCCCGUAACUCUGCCUAAGAGCAGAGAAAUGCUUUAUGAAUUAAGUUCUUAUGCACAACUUGCUCAAUGUGUUGAAUUUUUAAGGCCACAAUUAAGAACAAGUUGUUUGAUAGUUUGAUGACUGAUGAGAGUAUAAAAUGUGCUUUGAAAAUAAUAACUAUUUGUGGAACUAUGAACUUGGAUAAUAACUUCUCAGACUAAAUUUCCCUCUGCAGUCUCUUCGAGUAUUAAGUUGAAUACAUGAAAUUAUUAUACUACAAAUAUGAUAACACAUAAAAACUGUUAUCCACAAUUACUACCUCAUUCAAAUUCAGCAAAAUAUUGUAGUGAACGAGCAUAGCUGGAUUAAUUCUACGACUUUAAGAUAACCUUACUAACACCAAUGGAUUGAUACAACAACAACAAGCUUACUACUCAAAAUUAUUAAAAUAGUUUUCAUAAAUAUACUUGAGUUUUAGACUCGCAAGAUACAUUUGAUAACAUGAGAUCGAUGUUUUUUAACAAAAGACAAGCUCUGCUCAGAAUAACUACUUGAUACAGUCGAGAGAUAUGCGUACGACAAGCCUGACCGAGAUAUAAUCAAAUACAUGGGCGUCAAAGGAAAGAACGACAAUCGGAUGUAUUAUCGAACUGUAUGAACGCAACUUUAAUUGAACUCGAGUGCCAGCAAAGAGUUUGCUUAAAACUAUUGUCAAUUCAAUUUGACGCAUCGUCAUACCGACUUUUUUUUAUAACUACAUGUAAAAUGAAUUUCUUUCUCUUAAUUUCUUGAUAUAUUUUUAUGAAAAAUUAUGUUUGUUCAUGAAUCUAAUAUCAGAGUAAUAUUAUUAUUAUGUAUACUGUACACAAGUUAAAAACUGCAUAAUUACUUUAUAAUUGAAAAAAAACCCACCUAAUUAAUAAUUAGUAAAUAAAACAUUUAA